AUGGGCUCCAGGCUCCUCUACCGGGCGAUGCUUUGUCUUUUGGGAGGAGGCCCAGUGGAGGCUGGAGUCACUGAAACACCAAGAUACCUGAUCAAAACAACAGGGCAGGCAGUGACGCUGAGAUGUUCUACUAUCUCUAAGCACUCUGGUGUAUCUUGGUACCAACAGGCCCUGAGUCAGGACCCACACCUCCUCUUUGAGUUUUAUGAAAAUGUGCAAAGAGCAAAAGGAGAAAUCCCGAAUCGAUUCUCAGCACAGCAGCUCCGUGACUAUCGUUCUGAGCUGAACGGGAGCAUCUUGGAGCUGAUGGACUUGGCCCUGUAUCUCUGUGCCAGCAGUGUGGCACAGCCCUGCAGAAUCACCAGUGUUCUGUGCACAAACCUCCUCGUCUUGUCUCUAAUAGUGAGAGAGCACGCAGGCUCCAUCUGGUUUCACUUCUUCCGGGGAAGCUUUUAA